rnacentral:rRNA from 1 species
GGGGGGGGGGGGGGGGGGGCGGGGGGGGGGGGGGGGGGGCGGGGGGGCGAGGAGCGGGGGGGUCUGAUGUGAGGGGCGGACGGGUGAGUAACACGUGGCUAACCUACCUAUAAGACUGGGAUCACUUCGGGACACCGGCGCUAAUGCCGGCUGAUAUUUUGAACCGCAUGGUUCCAAAGUGAAAGACGGUCUUGCUGUCGCUUCUCGAUGGAUCCGCGCUGCAUUAGCUAGUUGGUAAGGUAACGGCUUACCAAGGCAACGAUGCAUAGCCGACCUGAGAGGGUGAUCGGCCAAACUGGAACUGAGACACGGUCCAGACUCCUACGGGAGGCAGCAGUAGGGAAUCUUCCGCAAUGGGCGAAAGCCUGACGGAGCAACGCCGCGUGAGUGAUGAAGGUCUUCGGAUCGUAAAACUCUGUUAUUAGGGAAGAACAUAUGUGUAAGUAACUGUGCACAUCUUGACGGUACCUAAUCAGAAAGCCACGGCUAACUACGUG